GUGGGGAAUCUUGCGCAAUGGGCGAAAGCCUGACGCAGCCAUGCCGCGUGAAUGAUGAAGGUCUUAGGAUUGUAAAAUUCUUUCACCGGGGACGAUAAUGACGGUACCCGGAGAAGAAGCUCCGGCUAACUUCGUGUCAGCAGCCGCGGUAAUACGAAGGGGGCUAGCGUUGCUCGGAAUUACUGGGCGUAAAGGGCGCGUAGGCGGACAGCUUAGUCAGAGGUGAAAGCCCAGGGCUCAACCUUGGAAUUGCCUUUGAUACUGGCUGUCUUGAGUUUGGGAGAGGUGAGUGGAACUCCGAGUGUAGAGGUGAAAUUCGUAGAUAUUCGGAAGAACACCAGAGGCGAAGGCGACUCACUGGCCCAAUACUGACGCUGAGGCGCGAAAGCGUGGGGAGCAAACAGGAUUAGAAACCCUAGUAGUCC
rnacentral:rRNA from 1 species